ACAAUGUGGGUAGUUCAUAUAUGGAGCUGUGUGUGUAUGAUUUUCUUGUUGGUAGUGGGUGUGUGAUCCUUGUAAUUUGCAUAGGUGGUUGCUGAUAGCUCGUUGGAUCUCCUGGCUUAGGUCGGCCUUCAUAUUUUCUAGGUAAGUCAUUAAAAAAGAGUUACCUCUUUGGUUUGGCACUUGGUCAGAGGAUACAUAUUUCAUGUUGGUGUGCCCUAGUUUAAAAUUUUCU